UUUACCCCCUUAGGUCUGCGAAAGAUGUGAACUUCCUAUUCUCGAUGAAGCGGUGCAUAUAAACCAUAAGUUCUAUCACUUCAGCUGCAUAGUAUGUGGAAGAUUUGCAAAUUCCAAAUCAAGCAAGUCCUCCAAAUCCUAAAAAACCAUGGAGUUAAUGUUGAACACAUAAAGGAAUUUCUCUGGAGCAGAGAUGAAAUGUUUUCAAGUGGAUUUUCAUAUACUUUCAUAAUCUAAUAAAAUUAAAAAAGGUUUUUCAUUGUAA